rnacentral:rRNA from 1 species
UACAGAGGUCUCAAGCGUUGUUCGGAUUCAUUGGGCGUAAAGGGUGCGUAGGCGGCGCUGUAAGUCGGGUGUGAAAUUUCGGAGCUUAACUCCGAAACUGCAUUCGAUACUGCGGUGCUUGAGGACUGGAGAGGAGACUGGAAUUCAUGGUGUAGCAGUGAAAUGCGUAGAGAUCAUGAGGAAGACCAGUGGCGAAGGCGGGUCUCUGGACAGUUCCUGACACUGAGGCACGAAGGCCAGGGGGAGCAAACGGGG